UUGGCCGGGCGACGGUUGUCCCGGUUUAAGCGUGUAGGCUGGUUUUCCAGGCAAAUCCGGAAAAUCAAGGCUGAGGCGUGACGACGAGGCACUACGGUGCUGAAGCAACAAAUGCCCUGCUUCCAGGAAAAGCCUCUAAGCAUCAGGUAACAUCAAAUCGUACCCCAAACCGACACAGGUGGUCAGGUAGAGAAUACCAAGGCGCUUGAGAGAACUCGGGUGAAGGAACUAGGCAAAAUGGUGCCGUAACUUCGGGAGAAGGCACGCUGACACGUAGGUGAAGUGAUUUACUCAUGGAGCUGAAGUCAGUCGAAGAUACCAGCUGGCUGCAACUGUUUAUUAAAAACACAGCACUGUGCAAACACGAAAGUGGACGUAUACGGUGUGACGCCUGCCCGGUGCCGGAAGGUUAAUUGAUGGGGUCAGCGCAAGCGAAGCUCCUGAUCGAAGCCCCGGUAAACGGCGGCCGUAACUAUAACGGUCCUAAGGUAGCGAAAUUCCUUGUCGGGUAAGUUCCGACCUGCACGAAUGGCGUAAUGAUGGCCAGGCUGUCUCCACCCGAGACUCAGUGAAAUUGAACUCGCUGUGAAGAUGCAGUGUACCCGCGGCAAGACGGAAAGACCCCGUGAACCUUUACUAUAGCUUGACACUGAACAUUGAGCCUUGAUGUGUAGGAUAGGUGGGAGGCUUUGAAGCGUGGACGCCAGUCUGCGUGGAGCCAACCUUGAAAUACCACCCUUUAAUGUUUGAUGUUCUAACGUGGACCCGUAANACCUUGAAAUACCACCCUUUAAUGUUUGAUGUUCUAACGUGGACCCGUAAUCCGGGUUGCGGACAGUGUCUGGUGGGUAGUUUGACUGGGGCGGUCUCCUCCUAAAGAGUAACGGAGGAGCACGAAGGUUGGCUAAUCCUGGUCGGACAUCAGGAGGUUAGUGCAAUGGCAUAAGCCAGCUUGACUGCGAGCGUGACGGCGCGAGCAGGUGCGAAAGCAGGUCAUAGUGAUCCGGUGGUUCUGAAUGGAAGGGCCAUCGCUCAACGGAUAAAAGGUACUCCGGGGAUAACAGGCUGAUACCGCCCAAGAGUUCAUAUCGACGGCGGUGUUUGGCACCUCGAUGUCGGCUCAUCACAUCCUGGGGCUGAAGUAGGUCCCAAGGGUAUGGCUGUUCGCCAUUUAAAGUGGUACGCGAGCUGGGUUUAGAACGUCGUGAGACAGUUCGGUCCCUAUCUGCCGUGGGCGCUGGAGAACUGAGGGGGGCUGCUCCUAGUACGAGAGGACCGGAGUGGACGCAUCACUGGUGUUCGGGUUGUCAUGCCAAUGGCACUGCCCGGUAGCUAAAUGCGGAAGAGAUAAGUGCUGAAAGCAUCUAAGCACGAAACUUGCCCCGAGAUGAGUUCUCCCUGAGACUUUAGGUCUCCUGAAGGAACGUUGAAGACGACGACGUUGAUAGGCCGGGUGUGUAAGCGCAGCGAUGCGUUGAGCUAACCGGUACUAAUGAACCGUGAGGCUUAACCUUACAACGCCGAAG
rnacentral:rRNA from 1 species